rnacentral:rRNA from 1 species
CACCGGGUUGAUAGGCCGGAGGUGUAAGCGCGGCGACGCGUUGAGCUGACCGGUCCUAAUCGUCCGAGGUCUUGACCUU